UGAGUACGAGAGGCUACGGCCUCGAAGCAGUCUAUGUCAUACUUCCAAGAAAAGCUUGCAAUGUCAUAAACAAAUAAUGCCUGUACCAUAACCGACACAGGUGGGUAGGUAGAGUAUACUAAGGGGCGCGAGAUAACUCUCUCUAAGGAACUCGGCAAAAUGACUCCGUAACUUCGGGAGAAGGAGUGCCUUAUUUAUAAGGUUGCAAUAACAAGAUCCAAGCAACUGUUUACCAAAAACACAGGUCUCCGCUAAGUCGUAAGACGAUGUAUGGGGGCUGACGCCUGCCCAGUGCCAGAAGGUUAAAGAAGUUGGUUAGCAUUAGCGAAGCUGAUAACUGAAGCCCUGGUGAACGGCGGCCGUAACUAUAACGGUCCUAAGGUAGCGAAAUUCCUUGUCGGGUAAGUUCCGACCCGCACGAAAGGCGUAAUGAUUUGGAUACUGUCUCGGAGAGAGGCUCGGUGAAAUAGACUUGUCUGUGAAGAUGCGGACUACCUGCACCUGGACAGAAAGACCCUAUGAAGCUUUACUGUAACUUGAAAUUGAAAUUGGACUUUAUUUGCGCAGUAUAGGUGGGAGGCGUUGAGAGUAUUCUUGCGGGAAUAUUGGAGCCAUCAGUGAGAUACCACUCUUGUAAUGUUAGAUUUCUAACUUUGGAUCAUUAUCUGGUCAAAGGACAGUUUCAGGCGGGCAGUUUGACUGGGGCGGUCGCCUCCCAAACGGUAACGGAGGCGUACAAAGGUUUCCUCUGAACGGGUAGAAAUCGUAUCUAGAGUGUAAAGGCAUAAGGAAGCUUGACUGUGAGACCUACAAGUCGAGCAGGGACGAAAGUCGGUCUUAGUGAUCUGACGGUGCUGAGUGGAAAGGCCGUCACUCAACGGAUAAAAGUUACUCUAAGGAUAACAGGCUGAUCUCCCCCAAGAGUUCACAUCGACGGGGAGGUUUGGCACCUCGAUGUCGGCUCAUCGCAUCCUGGGGCGGUAGUACGUCCCAAGGGUUGGGCUGUUCGCCCAUGAAAGCGGUACGCGAGCUGGGUUCAGAACGUCGUGAGACAGUUCGGUCCAUAUCCGGUGUAGGCGUUAGAAUAUUGAGAGGAGCCUUCUUUAGUACGAGAGGACCGAGAAGGACAUACCUCUGGUGUACCAGUUAUCGUGCCAACGGUAAACGCUGGGUAGCUAUGUAUGGAGAGGAUAACCGCUGAAAGCAUCUAAGUGGGAAGCCCACCUCAAGAUAAGUAUUCUCGU
rnacentral:rRNA from 1 species